rnacentral:tmRNA from 1 species
GGGGGUGACCGGUUUUGACAGCAAGAUGAAUUGUCAUGUAAGCAUGUCGAGCCUCGCAGUGACGCUCGGACGAGACAUCCCGCAGGUGGAGAUUCCUGAUUCCGGCCUGAGCCCGGGGUGCUAAGCAAUUUCGGGAUAGCCUUGUCGGCGCUCCGACAGCAAGGCGAAGCUCAAGGAGAUAAGGUCGCGUUUAGGGCGUUCGUUCCCUUGCACGGCACGAAAACCAACAGCGGAAUAAGCAUGUAGAAACCAUGGGGGUUCCUUGUUUGGACGAGGGUUCGACUCCCUCCAUCUCCACA